UUAAAUUGAAGAGUUUGAUCAUGGCUCAGAUUGAACGCUGGCGGCAGGCCUAACACAUGCAAGUCGAACGGUAACAGGAAUCAGCUUGCUGAUUCGCUGACGAGUGGCGGACGGGUGAGUAAUGUCUGGGAAACUGCCUGAUGGAGGGGGAUAACUACUGGAAACGGUAGCUAAUACCGCAUAACGUCGCAAGACCAAAGAGGGGGACCUUCGGGCCUCUUGCCAUCGGAUGUGCCCAGAUGGGAUUAGCUAGUAGGUGGGGUAACGGCUCACCUAGGCGACGAUCCCUAGCUGGUCUGAGAGGAUGACCAGCCACACUGGAACUGAGAUACGGUCCAGACUCCUACGGGAGGCAGCAGUGGGGAAUAUUGCACAAUGGGCGCAAGCCUGAUGCAGCCAUGCCGCGUGUAUGAAGAAGGCCUUCGGGUUGUAAAGUACUUUCAGCGGGGAGGAAGGGAGUAAAGUUAAUACCUUUGCUCAUUGACGUUACCCGCAGAAGAAGCACCGGCUAACUCCGUGCCAGCAGCCGCGGUAAUACGGAGGGUGCAAGCGUUAAUCGGAAUUACUGGGCGUAAAGCGCACGCAGGCGGUUUGUUAAGUCAGAUGUGAAAUCCCCGGGCUCAACCUGGGAACUGCAUCUGAUACUGGCAAGCUUGAGUCUCGUAGAGGGGGGUAGAAUUCCAGGUGUAGCGGUGAAAUGCGUAGAGAUCUGGAGGAAUACCGGUGGCGAAGGCGGCCCCCUGGACGAAGACUGACGCUCAGGUGCGAAAGCGUGGGGAGCAAACAGGAUUAGAUACCCUGGUAGUCCACGCCGUAAACGAUGUCGACUUGGAGGUUGUGCCCUUGAGGCGUGGCUUCCGGAGCUAACGCGUUAAGUCGACCGCCUGGGGAGUACGGCCGCAAGGUUAAAACUCAAAUGAAUUGACGGGGGCCCGCACAAGCGGUGGAGCAUGUGGUUUAAUUCGAUGCAACGCGAAGAACCUUACCUGGUCUUGACAUCCACAGAACUUUCCAGAGAUGGAUUGGUGCCUUCGGGAACUGUGAGACAGGUGCUGCAUGGCUGUCGUCAGCUCGUGUUGUGAAAUGUUGGGUUAAGUCCCGCAACGAGCGCAACCCUUAUCCUUUGUUGCCAGCGGUCCGGCCGGGAACUCAAAGGAGACUGCCAGUGAUAAACUGGAGGAAGGUGGGGAUGACGUCAAGUCAUCAUGGCCCUUACGACCAGGGCUACACACGUGCUACAAUGGCGCAUACAAAGAGAAGCGACCUCGCGAGAGCAAGCGGACCUCAUAAAGUGCGUCGUAGUCCGGAUUGGAGUCUGCAACUCGACUCCAUGAAGUCGGAAUCGCUAGUAAUCGUGGAUCAGAAUGCCACGGUGAAUACGUUCCCGGGCCUUGUACACACCGCCCGUCACACCAUGGGAGUGGGUUGCAAAAGAAGUAGGUAGCUUAACCUUCGGGAGGGCGCUUACCACUUUGUGAUUCAUGACUGGGGUGAAGUCGUAACAAGGUAACCGUAGGGGAACCUGCGGUUGGAUCACCUCCUUACCUUAAAGAAGC
rnacentral:rRNA from 1 species